rnacentral:rRNA from 1 species
GCUUGUCUCAAAGAUUAAGCCAUGCAUGUCUAAGUAUAAACGACUUUAUACUGUGAAACUGCGAAUGGCUCAUUAUAUCAGUUAUAGUUCAUUUGAUGGUUCUUGCUACUUGGAUAACCGUAGUAAUUCUAGAGCUAAUACAUGCAUCAAACCCCGACUUCUGGAAGGGGUGUAUUUAUUAGAUGGAAACCAAUGCGGGGCAACCCGGAUUCUGGUGAUUCAUAAUAACUUUCGGAUCGAUCCUCGGAUCGAUGCAUCAUUCAAGUUUCUGCCCUAUCAGCUUUGGAUGGUAGGGUAUUGGCCUACCAUGGCUUUAACGGGUAACGGAGAAUUAGGGUUCGAUUCCGGAGAGGGAGCCUGAGAAAUGGCUACCACAUCCAAGGAAGGCAGCAGG